rnacentral:rRNA from 1 species
CGGCGGCCAUAGCGAGAGGGAAACGCCCGGCAACAUUCCGAACCCGGAAGCUAAGCCUCUCAGCGCCGAUGGUACUGCAGGGGCGACCCUGUGGGAGAGUAGGACACCGC